ACAAGUUGUGCUAAUAAUACCUCAAAGGAAAGGGGGGAAAAAGACUAAACUGAGAACUGAAUUUCAGAGCAGAAGCUUUUUAAAGACUGCGAUUCAGAAUUGAACCUAAGGGUCUUCCCCCCCACACGCUUCCCUGUAAACUAAGUGAUCAAAACCUUUAGGGCCAAAGUAGGGGGACACAGUUUUUUGCUGAAGUUUUCCUUAUAAGAUAGACAGUGCCUAAUUCUGAAUUCAAUUCAAGCUCCGAUGUCGGGUUUUCCCCUAAGGGCUUUAUUGAAACUGCUUCAGUUCACAGCCUUUGUUCUGUUAAACAAUUCCUAUAGAUAGCAUUGUCAUACUGGGUGAUUGCACUUUUUAAAAAAUGCCCCCUCGCAAAUGUACUAUUAUUUUUUAAAUGGAAUUGGAAAUUGUGCGUGAAAAAAUAAAAAAAGGCACAGGGGGAAGGAGUUCUGAAGAAAUCAAUUUGAAUAAAAACUCCCUGUUAGACCCUUUCUGUAUUUGCUAUCUUUCUCUGGGAGUUUUUGCUUGGAAACCUCUGGCAAACAGCUAUCUUUGGGUGAGCUGAAAGAGUGUCAAACUAUCGAGAGCCUCUUCCAUUGCCCUCUGCCCCCAUCAACUUGCUUCAGGAUCGAUGAAAUGGGAAUCAAAUCAGGACAUCUGCUGGUAUCGGGAGGGCUUAAAGAACUGGAAGUUUGUUUUAAUUACAAAGGAUGUUUGCGUGAAGACGGAGGGGAAGAUUCAUCAGAUGGGGUGCCGGGACUGAAAUUGGCAGCUUGCAUCUCACCUGUUCAGGGGUGCCCGUUUGGACCCCGGUACUGACCUCAGGCCUCCUGACGUUACCACCCCAGUCUUGCAAAGGUGCAAAUGCUUCCUGCGGUGCUGAGGGUCUGUACACCGACUGGCUCUAGGUUAUGGUCGAGAGCUUACCGUGUCUGGUGGGAACCACAGAAGAGGAGGAAUACAGAACAUUUCUGCUCUCAGCAGAAUCAUCCAUGCGCUAAUGCUCGGACUUGUACCAAACAUAACGUUAGUCACACACCCUUGGGAUAGAAACAUGCAGAGAAAACAAUGAAACAAGACUGUUUAUAAAGCCGUCAACACAUUAGCCAGUGGAGAGGAGCCCAAGUUUCCAUGUAAAGUCCUGAAUGGAUGCGAGUGACAUGAGACACAUGGAAAAUGUAGAGCAAGGAAUAAAAUUAUAAAUAAAACAAAAACAAUAAAUUGGGAAUGCCA